rnacentral:rRNA from 1 species
UACCAGCACCCCGAGUGGUCGGGACGUUUAUUGGGCCUAAAGCAUCCGUAGCCGGUUCUACAAGUCUUCCGUUAAAUCCACCUGCUUAACAGAUGGGCUGCGGAAGAUACUAUGGAGCUAGGAGGCGGGAGAGGCAAGCGGUACUCGAUGGGUAGGGGUAAAAUCCGUUGAUCCAUUGAAGACCACCAGUGGCGAAGGCGGCUUGCCAGAACGCGCUCGACGGUGAGGGAUGAAGCUGGGGAGCAACCGG